rnacentral:rRNA from 1 species
CGAACGGGUGAGUAACGCGUGAGGAACCUGCCUCAAAGAGGGGGACAACAGUUGGAAACGACUGCUAAUACCGCAUAAGCCCACGGGUCGGCAUCGACCUGAGGGAAAAGGAGCAAUCCGCUUUGAGAUGGCCUCGCGUCCGAUUAGCUAGUUGGUGAGGUAAUGGCCCACCAAGGCGACGAUCGGUAGCCGGACUGAGAGGUUGAACGGCCACAUUGGGACUGAGACACGGCCCAG